GAUGAACGCUGGCGGCGUGCCUAAUACAUGCAAGUCGAGCGAACGGACGAGAAGCUUGCUUCUCUGAUGUUAGCGGCGGACGGGUGAGUAACACGUGGAUAACCUCCCUAUAAGACUGGGAUAACUUCGGGAAACCGGAGCUAAUACCGGAUAAUAUUUUGAACCGCAUGGUUCAAAAGUGAAAGACGGUCUUGCUGUCACUUAUAGAUGGAUCCGCGCUGCAUUAGCUAGUUGGUAAGGUAACGGCUUACCAAGGCAACGAUGCAUAGCCGACCUGAGAGGGUGAUCGGCCACACUGGAACUGAGACACGGUCCAGACUCCUACGGGAGGCAGCAGUAGGGAAUCUUCCGCAAUGGGCGAAAGCCUGACGGAGCAACGCCGCGUGAGUGAUGAAGGUCUUCGGAUCGUAAAACUCUGUUAUUAGGGAAGAACAUAUGUGUAAGUAACUGUGCACAUCUUGACGGUACCUAAUCAGAAAGCCACGGCUAACUACGUG
rnacentral:rRNA from 1 species